ensembl:lncRNA
UAACACAGCAGAAACUCAUGUCUUGAGGCUCUCUCCUGUCUUUCUCAAUCCCACGUGCACUGUGUGAUUCCACGGCAGAACCUGAGCUUGCACAAGCACUUCACAUGUACUCUCACCUCCCGAUGCCAGGCAACUGAGUAACAGAAAAGCUGUCACAGGUCAUUUUGCUACAGCCCCAGUGUUUGAAGGGCAUUUAGGUUAUAGUAAAACCAGAUUUCAGCCCCAGUCAGCCUUUUUUUUCAGGAUGCGGUGAACAGCUGGCUGGUGGAUGUUGCCUGAACAAAGGUCUCCUUCUACUCCGAGUGGCCUCGAGGGACAGCUGCUGCUGCUGUGUCUGGCUGGUCUGACAGCAGGAUCCAAAAGAGGGAUUUAUCCUGUACAGCUGUGGAGGUCAGACAAUCCAGGGCUCUAUUUUAUCCAUAAUAAAAUGUGGGAGUACAUUUUUCUUCUACAACCUACCCAGAUCAGGGAGAGAAGCAGAGCAAGCUAAACCAGUUUCUCCCUCACUAUCCUUUUGCAUAUUUCUACCUUGGGUUCAAGAAUCUAAAGCAGGGUAAACACAGCUCUGAGGGUUUCUUUUUGCCACGGUCUGACCAUGUUAAUUUCAACAGAGGAACUUUGGUUUCAGUGUAUGUUAAAUGAAAAUAUUAUCAUUUUCAAGCUAAAACAUAAUAUAUUGAAUUAUCCUUGAGAGAGAUAGAGCACUUUAUUCAACUGAUCAAGCUUUGCUCAGUUAGCCUUUACUGAACUUGCUUUUCUCUUCUUUGCUCAAAUUAACACAGUAACUGAAGUCAGUGGUAACCAAGGUUCUAAAAGCAGAUAAAGGCAAAAACCUGCCUCUCCAAAGUCUUUAGUCUCACUAAGCAAAAAAGCUCACAGAAGGAGAUUGAGAUCAAAAUCAGUGCUACCUAGCCCAAGAAAAACUAAUUUGCAGGAGUUCAUUUUGGAUUCUUCUAUAUACAUAAAGAGAGAAUCAUUAAGUUUGUACAUGUAGAAUUUUAUCUUUUCUUAUUCUCUCCAUUAUGUGGACAAACUGUUGAAUUCACUGCUUUGAUAAAAAUCUUUCUAGAAGAUUUUAAUUAUUCCCAAAAUACCGCUUUUUCCCCCUGUCCUUUUUUUUUUUUUUUAAAGUUAGGGGUUUAUUAAAGAGAUCAUAGAUUUUUCUAAUGUUAGCUGUGAAAUCCAUAUGGGAAAAAAAAUCAAAUCAUUCUUAGCAUUUAUUAUGCUAAUUUUAACUGGGACUCAAAAGGUAAAGGAACUUAAUGUCAUUACCUAUGCAAGAUCUGAGAAUGUGCAUCUCCAGAAAUAAUGACCUUAUUACAGUGUUGAUCUUGUGUGGGUGGAAGUCUGGUGUAGAGGGAGCCUGGGGGAAAUGCUCAUGCAUUUCACCUGCCUAUUGUACAUUAUAUGUGAGCUCAGAGGUACAAUAAGAUACACAUUUGUAAGUGUCCUACAUGUAAGAAAUAGGCAAUUUAAUGCAUUAAUCAGUGGAGUGCAAUUACAGGCCUUAAUUUAGAAGGUAUUAGUCACUUGCCAUAGAUAACCUUCUGUGGCUAUUAGAAUUUCAUAGGCUGAGUACAUUACAACUGGCAAAUGUCAUUUGCACAGCCAGCACACACACAAGGGGCUGGUUUUGGCUGGAAGCACAUUUUUUUUCUGUAUUAAAUCCACUCCACUAAAUUCAAGAGAGAGCA